UACGUAGGGUGCAAGCGUUGCCCGGAUUUAUUGGGCGUAAAGGGCGCGUAGGCGGCUCGGCACGUCCGUUGUGAAAUCGCCCGGCUCAACUGGGCGGGGUCAGCGGAUACGGUCGAGCUUGAGCAAGCUAGGGGGCAAUGGAAUUCCCGGUGUAGUGGUGGAAUGCGUAGAUAUCAGGAGGAACACCUGUGGCGAAAGCGGCGCACUGGACCACAACUGACGCUGAGGCGCGAAAGCUAGGGGAGCAAACAGG
rnacentral:rRNA from 1 species